rnacentral:rRNA from 1 species
CCUACGGGAGGCAGCAGUGGGGAAUUUUGGACAAUGGGCGCAAGCCUGAUCCAGCAAUGCCGCGUGAGUGAAGAAGGCCUUCGGGUUGUAAAGCUCUUUUGUCAGGGAAGAAACGGUGAGCUCUAAUACAGUUUGCUAAUGACGGUACCUGAAGAAUAAGCACCGGCUAACUACGUGCCAGCAGCCGCGGUAAUACGUAGGGUGCAAGCGUUAAUCGGAAUUACUGGGCGUAAAGCGUGCGCAGGCGGUUUUGUAAGUCUGUCGUGAAAUCCCCGGGCUCAACCUGGGAAUGGCGAUGGAGACUGCAAGGCUAGAGUUUGGCAGAGGGGGGUAGAAUUCCACGUGUAGCAGUGAAAUGCGUAGAUAUGUGGAGGAACACCGAUGGCGAAGGCAGCCCCCUGGGUCAAAACUGACGCUCAUGCACGAAAGCGUGGGGAGCAAACAGGAUUAGAUACCCUGGUAGUCCACGCCCUAAACGAUGUCUACUAGUUGUCGGGUCUUAAUUGACUUGGUAACGCAGCUAACGCGUGAAGUAGACCGCCUGGGGAGUACGGUCGCAAGAUUAAAACUCAAAUGAAUUGACGG